rnacentral:rRNA from 1 species
UAAGUUAAUAAGGGCGCACGGUGGAUGCCUUGGCACUAGGAGCCGACGAAGGACGUGACAAACGACGAUAUGCCUUGGGUAGCUGUAAGUAAGCGAUGAUCCAGGGAUUUCCGAAUGGGGGAACCCAACAGGUAAUACCUGUUACCUACAUCUGUUAAGGAUGUGAGGAGGAAGACGCAGUGAACUGAAACAUCUAAGUAGCUGCAGGAAGAGAAAGCAAAAGCGAUUGCCUUAGUAGCGGCGAGCGAAACGGCAGAAGGGCAAACCGAAGAGUUUACUCUUCGGGGUUGUAGGACUGCAAUGUGGACUCAAAGAUUAUAGAAGAAUGAUUUGGGAAGAUCAGCCAAAGAGAGUAAUAGCCUCGUAUUUAAAAUAGUCUUUGUACUUAGCAGUAUCCUGAGUACGGCGGGACACGUGAAAUCCCGUCGGAAUCUGGGAGGACCAUCUCCCAACCCUAAAUACUCCCUAGUGACCGAUAGUGAACCAGUACCGUGAGGGAAAGGUGAAAAGCACCCCGGGAGGGGAGUGAAAUAGAACCUGAAACCGUGUGCCUACAACAAGUUCGAGCCCGUUAAUGGGGUGAGAGCGUGCCUUUUGUAGAAUGAACCGGCGAGUUACGUUAUGAUGCGAGGUUAAGUUGAAGAGACGGAGCCGUAGGGAAACCGAGUCUGAAUAGGGCGCCUUAGUAUCAUGACGUAGACCCGAAACCAUGUGACCUACCCAUGAGCAGGUUGAAGGUGCGGUAAGACGCACUGGAGGACCGAACCAGGGCACGUUGAAAAGUGCUUGGAUGACUUGUGGGUAGCGGAGAAAUUCCAAACGAACUUGGAGAUAGCUGGUUCUCUCCGAAAUAGCUUUAGGGCUAGCGUCGACAUUAGAGAUUCUUGGAGGUAGAGCACUGUUUGGGUGAGGGGUCCAUCCCGGAUUACCAAUCUCAGAUAAACUCCGAAUGCCAAUGAAUUAUGGUCGGCAGUCAGACUGCGAGUGCUAAGAUCCGUAGUCGAAAGGGAAACAGCCCAGACCACCAGCUAAGGUCCCAAAAUAAUUGUUAAGUGGAAAAGGAUGUGGGGUUGCACAGACAACUAGGAUGUUAGCUUAGAAGCAGCUAUUCAUUCAAAGAGUGCGUAAUAGCUCACUAGUCGAGUGACCCUGCGCCGAAAAUGUACCGGGGCUAAAACAAUUUACCGAAGCUGUGGAUACCUUUAUAGGUAUGGUAGGAGAGCGUUCUAUGUGUGAUGAAGGUAUACCGUGAGGAGUGCUGGAACGCAUAGAAGUGAGAAUGCCGGUAUGAGUAGCGAAAGACAGGUGAGAAUCCUGUCCACCGUAAGACUAAGGUUUCCAGGGGAAGGCUCGUCCGCCCUGGGUUAGUCGGGACCUAAGGAGAGACCGAAAGGUGUAUCCGAUGGACAACAGGUUGAUAUUCCUGUACUAGAGUAUGUAGUGAUGGAGGGACGCAGUAGGCUAACUAAAGCAGACGAUUGGAAGAGUCUGUCUAAGCAGUGAGGUGUGAAUUGAGUCAAAUGCUUAAUUCUAUAACAUUGAGCUGUGAUGGGGAGCGAAGUUUAGUAGCGAAGUUAGUGACGUCACACUGCCAAGAAAAGCUUCUAGCGUUUAAACAUACUCUACCCGUACCGCAAACCGACACAGGUAGUCGAGGCGAGUAGCCUCAGGUGAGCGAGAGAACUCUCGUUAAGGAACUCGGCAAAAUGACCCCGUAACUUCGGGAGAAGGGGUGCUGACUUAAAGUCAGCCGCAGUGAAUAGGCCCAAGCAACUGUUUAUCAAAAACACAGCUCUCUGCUAAAUCGUAAGAUGAUGUAUAGGGGGUGACGCCUGCCCGGUGCUGGAAGGUUAAGAGGAGUGCUUAGCGUAAGCGAAGGUAUGAAUUGAAGCCCCAGUAAACGGCGGCCGUAACUAUAACGGUCCUAAGGUAGCGAAAUUCCUUGUCGGGUAAGUUCCGACCCGCACGAAAGGCGUAAUGAUUUGGGCACUGUCUCAACGAGAGACUCGGUGAAAUUUUAGUACCUGUGAAGAUGCAGGUUACCCGCGACAGGACGGAAAGACCCCAUGGAGCUUUACUGCAGUUUGAUAUUGAGUGUCUGUACCACAUGUACAGGAUAGGUAGGAGUCUAAGAGAUCGGGACGCCAGUUUCGAAGGAGACGCUGUUGGGAUACUACCCUUGUGUUAUGGCCACUCUAACCCAGAUAGGUGAUCCCUAUCGGAGACAGUGUCUGACGGGCAGUUUGACUGGGGCGGUCGCCUCCUAAAAGGUAACGGAGGCGCCCAAAGGUUCCCUCAGAAUGGUUGGAAAUCAUUCGCAGAGUGUAAAGGUAUAAGGGAGCUUGACUGCGAGAGCUACAACUCGAGCAGGGACGAAAGUCGGGCUUAGUGAUCCGGUGGUUCCGUAUGGAAGGGCCAUCGCUCAACGGAUAAAAGCUACCCUGGGGAUAACAGGCUUAUCUCCCCCAAGAGUUCACAUCGACGGGGAGGUUUGGCACCUCGAUGUCGGCUCGUCGCAUCCUGGGGCUGUAGUCGGUCCCAAGGGUUGGGCUGUUCGCCCAUUAAAGCGGCACGCGAGCUGGGUUCAGAACGUCGUGAGACAGUUCGGUCCCUAUCCGUCGCGGGCGUAGGAAAUUUGAGAGGAUCUGCUCCUAGUACGAGAGGACCAGAGUGGACUUACCGCUGGUGUACCAGUUGUCUUGCCAAAGGCAUCGCUGGGUAGCUAUGUAGGGAAGGGAUAAACGCUGAAAGCAUCUAAGUGUGAAACCCACCUCAAGAUGAGAUUUCCCAUGAUUAUAUAUCAGUAAGAGCCCUGAGAGAUGAUCAGGUAGAUAGGUUAGAAGUGGAAGUGUGGCGACACAUGUAGCGGACUAAUACUAAUAGCUCGAGGACUUAUCCA